GGGAAUUAAGCAUAUCAAUAAGCGGAGGAAAAGAAACUAACCAGGAUUCCCCCAGUAACGGCGAGUGAAGAGGGAAAAGCCCAAAUUUGUAAUCUGGCUCUUUCAGAGUCCGAGUUGUAAUUUUGAGAGCUGUUUUCUGUGCUGGACCAUUUCUAAGUCUGUUGAAAAACAGCAUCAUGGAGGGUGAGAAUCCCGUAUAUGAUAUGGACUACCAGGGCUAUAUGAUACAGUCUCUAAGAGUCGAGUUGUUUGGGAAUGCAGCUCAAAUUGGGUGGUAAAUUCCAUCUAAGGCUAAAUACAGGUGAGAGACCGAUAGCAAACAAGUACCGUGAGGGAAAGAUGAAAAGAACUUUGGAAAGAGAGUUAACAGUACGUGAAAUUGUUAUAAAAGAAACGAUUGAAGUUAGCCUUGUAUUUGUUAGUUCAGCUCUUUUAGGGUGUAUUCUAAUGAUAUACAGACCAACAUCAGUUUUUGGGUGCUGGAUAAGAGUCUUGGAAAUGUAGCAGCCUUGGCUGUGUUAUAGUCCUGGAUCUUGGAUACAGUGCCUAGGACUGAGGAAUGCAGCAAGCCGGGGUCACCUGGCAGAUCUCUUUGGAGAUCUUCUUGCUGAGGAUGUUGGUGUAAUAGCUUUAACCGACCCGUCUUGAAACACGGACCCCAAGGAGA
rnacentral:rRNA from 1 species